AUAUCAAUAAGCGGAGGAAGAGAAACCAACAGGGAUUGCCUUAGUAACGGCGAGUGAAGCGGCAACAGCUCAAAUUUGAAAUCUGCCUCUAGGCCGAGUUGUAAUUUGUAGAAGAUGCUUCGGGUGUGGCACCGGUCUAAGUUCCUUGGAACAGGACGUCAUAGAGGGUGAGAAUCCCGUAUGUGACUGGUAGCUUUCGCCCGUGUAAAGCCUUCGUUA
rnacentral:rRNA from 1 species